rnacentral:pre_miRNA from 1 species
UCGUUGUGUCGGUGAGAUAUGUUUGAUAUUCUUGGUUGUUUGUGCAUCACCCGGGAAUCAAACAUAUUACACAUCGACCGCGGCGC